ACGAACGCUUGCGGCGUGCUUAACACAUGCAAGUCGAACGGAAAGGCCCUGCUUUUGUGGGGUGCUCGAGUGGCGAACGGGGGAGUAACACGUGAGUAACCUGCCCUUGACUUUGGGAUAACUUCAGGAAACUGGGGCUAAUACCGGAUAGGAGCUCCUGCUGCAUGGUGGGGGUUGGAAAGUUUCGGCGGGUGGGGAUGGACUCGCGGCUUAUCAGCUUGUUGGUGGGGUAGUGGCUUACCAAGGCUUUGACGGGUAGCCGGCCUGAGAGGGUGACCGGCUACAUUGGGACUGAGCUACGGCCCAGCCUCCUCCGGGAGGCAGCAGUGCGGAAUAUUGCACAAUGGGCGGAAGCCUGAUGCAGCAACGCCGCGUGCGGGAUGACGGCCUUCGGGUUGUAUACCGCUUUCGCCUGUGCCGAAGCGUGAGUGACGGUAAUGGGUAAAGAAGCACCGGCUAACUACGUG
rnacentral:rRNA from 1 species